GGUCCAGUAGCUCAGCGGUCAGAGCAUCCAGUUCAUACUCGGAGGUCGCGGGUUCGACUCCCCAUGGGUCCA
rfam:Nosema bombycis CQ1 unplaced genomic scaffold NBO_68, whole genome shotgun sequence.